UACGGAGGGUGCAAGCGUUAUCCGGAUUCACUGGGCUUAAAGGGUGCGUAGGUGGGUUGGUAAGUCAGUGGUGAAAUCUCCGAGCUUAACUUGGAAACUGCCGUUGAUACUAUCAAUCUUGAAUAUCGCGUAGGUAAGCGGAAUAUGUCAUGUAGCGGUGAAAUGCUUAGAUAUGACAUAGAACACCAAUUGCGAAGGCAGCUUACUUCACGAUCAUUGACACUGAGGCACGAAAGCGUGGGGAGCAAACAGG
rnacentral:rRNA from 1 species